UGGGGAAUUUUGGACAAUGGGGGCAACCCUGAUCCAGCAAUGCCGCGUGUGUGAAGAAGGCCUUCGGGUUGUAAAGCACUUUUGUCCGGAAAGAAAACGCCGUGGUUAAUACCCGUGGCGGAUGACGGUACCGGAAGAAUAAGCACCGGCUAACUACGUGCCAGCAGCCGCGGUAAUACGUAGGGUGCAAGCGUUAAUCGGAAUUACUGGGCGUAAAGCGUGCGCAGGCGGUCCGCUAAGACAGAUGUGAAAUCCCCGGGCUUAACCUGGGAACUGCAUUUGUGACUGGCGGGCUAGAGUAUGGCAGAGGGGGGUAGAAUUCCACGUGUAGCAGUGAAAUGCGUAGAGAUGUGGAGGAAUACCGAUGGCGAAGGCAGCCCCCUGGGCCAAUACUGACGCUCAUGCACGAAAAGCGUGGGGGAGCAAACAGGAUUCAGAUACCCUGGUAGUCCACGCCCUAAACGAUGUCAACUAGGUUGUCGGGUUCUUCAUUGACUUGGUAACGUAGCUAACGCGUGAAGUUGACCGCCUGGGGAGUACGGUCGCAAGAUUAAAACUCAAAGGAAUUGACGGGGUCUAGCUGUUUCCUG
rnacentral:rRNA from 1 species